ACAAAAUUUUGAAGCAACCUUCGCUGACCGCUGUUAAAAUCGAACUCCCUAACCGCAUAUUCUGCAGCAACGUGGUUCGAUGAAAAAUUUCCAAUUCCCUUUUUCAUCCUAUUCAUCCCACCGUUGCUGCAGUUUGAGUCCAAUUUCACUCAAUUGCAUCGAAGGGGUAGCACAUAUGUGCUGUCUCGCUUUGGAGUUCCUGACUGUCUUUGUCUAGCAAAACAUUUGGAGUUGCCACUCCCCCCACAGACUACUCGCCGCAUUGCCGAUAUUAACUAUCGAUACCUAGGUGAGCGACCAACAAAAGACGACGGAAAUCCACAACAUAAACAACAAAACCUGCAAUCAACAACAAAACGGAUCCCGGUUCCGGACCCAGGCGUACCCGCCCUGCCUGAGAUGACCACCUCAACGUCAUCUCCCUUAUGUUGGCCCCCGAAUGGACCUACUUCAUCCUGUGUUGGCCAUCGUGUUUCUCCUUCCCCCUACAGCAAUAAUUAGACGGACAUUUUUAUCAUCAGGUAUGUGUGUAUCAAACAAUUAAACAAUUCGGCAACAAUGCAACAAGGAAGAAACAAACAAAACAGGCUAGGAACACAUCGAUAUCGCAAACGCAACAAACUUGCCAUAGGUAAGCUGGCAAGACAACGAUGCGGAGACGCCGCGGGAAUUGUUUGUAUAUAUAUUUGU